CCAGAGCCAAAAAGCUCGCCUUUGGCCAUUCGCAACUCAGAUUGAAAAUCACAAAAGACGCUCUCUUUUUAUUUCACUCAGUUUCAACCCAUCCAUCUCCACCCUCUCCCCUUGUCAUCUCUAGCAAGAACUCAAGAGCCUUGGCUAUCUUUCAGAGCAUAGUCGUGUGGGUUCAUCUAUGUGAGGGUGCCAAAUCCAGAAAACCCUCAACAAAAUCAAAAUCACCAUCAGCUGCGGCUUCGUCGAAGAGACAAUCGGAUGCUCACCGAGAUCCGUCCCAACUCCGACCCCCCCGACUCAGAUGAGCUGACCCAGACGGAGUUCAACCCCAACACCACAUAGUCUCGCAGUUCCUGAGCUUGGUUAACGACUUCGUUGCCUUGUUCUGAGAUACUCAUCUGCGUCUGUUGGAGGAUUUCAGCGAGCAAGUCAAUCUUCAAGUUGGGAGCAGGAGUACUUCAGAGAGCAUUUCAUCGGUACUCUCCACCUCCAUACAAGAAAAGGUUGUUCUGCUGGCUUAGGGCCUUGACCAGUCACUCUCACAUAAUCGUUUUACACAAGUUCAAGCAAAGACAAAAAGAGUGCUGACGACGAUGAUUGGAGAUAUUUGGUCUCAUUUGAACUUUGCGAAUAUUUUUCUAAGGAUACAGAUAUUGAGAUGGCUGGGACGAGGGGAUUACAAGAUCAGCACCACAGAAUAGAAAAUGGAAUAAGUCUUCAUAUAUUGUUGAAUGUAGCAAUCAUAUUUUAGAGGUGAAUUGAGGA